rnacentral:tRNA from 2 species
GCCGACGUGGCGGAACUGGUAAACGCAUCGCUACAGCGAUCCUGCGGGGGCUUCCCCACAGGUGCAGGUUCAAUCCCUGCCGUCGGCG